GCGGCGUCGAAGGAUUACUCAGCAAUAAACCUUGCAAAAAUAUUUCGUCCGUCUCCGAGAAAUCCGAACCAUAAUCUGCGCAAUGUUUGUAUCCAUCUAGAAACAAAAAAGUACACACCGAAAUAGGUAGAAAUCCUUUUAAGUGGACAUGAAGGACAUGAAGGAGGAUGAUGGAGGAUAUAGGUUGAUAGGAUCGGGAAGAAGGCAGAGAUAGGAACUUGACUAGUCAAUCACCGAAAUGGAAAUGAAUGCGUGAAACACACAAAAUAUGGCAAAAGAAGGAUCUGGUGCUGGUCAAUGGUUCCUCCUGCGUGAGCGUGACCCAAUAACUUAUUGAUUACGUAAAAAUUCAAAAUAUACAAAAUAGUGUCUUAUAGGAUG